rnacentral:rRNA from 1 species
GUCUACGGCCAUGCCAUUCUGAACAUGCCCAAUCUCAUCUGAUCUCGGAAACUAAGCAGGAUCAUGCCUGGUUAGUACUUGGAUGGGAGACCACCUAGGAAGACGGGGUGCUGUAGGCA